AUUAAUGAUUCUUUGAUGAUUCUUGACAUACGUUACGUACAACCACGCAACGAUCACGUUAUGAGUUUCUAGAAUAUUAUGUGUGGUCAAUAUGUGCGACACACGUGUCGACAGUGUACGCACAAAAAAGAGAAUUUUCUAAACAUCGCUCUUUCGUCACGUCAAACGAGUAUCCGCGGUUUGUCUCGCGGAGAAUGAUAUUCUCGAAUUAUGUACGAAGCAGAGUACACGUCGUCAUAAAUACAGCGAUGUCGACCACAUCAACGAUCCUUCACAACGAAGAUUGUGAUUAUUGCACCAAAACACCUCGUAAUUAUCGGUAUAAAGUGUUAAUCCCUCCUCCAUAUAUCCACGUUCUGCGAGACUGAUGAUGAAGACGAUGCGGGUUAUGUAGGUGCCCUACUUCUAUAAAUGUUCCUUUCUUUUGUCGGUCUGCAUUCUCUCGACGUCGAGAGUUUACGUAUAAUUUAACGGAACCUGAUUCACGAUACUGCUACUCAUAUUAUGGAUCCCGUAACCGGAUUCAGACUAUCAAUACUGCGUCGAUGAACAUUCACGUUUAUUGAAAGCAUAUUACGGAUCAUUUCAUCGAAAAACGACACCUGCGCGAUAUGAUUUAGAAAAGAAAUUGGUUUCUUCUGCUUUCUCUGAAAUGUCGAUUAACAAAAUGUCACAGCUGUUGUUUUUCUUAUAAAUUAUAUUAAACGAGAAAAUAGAAACUAAAUCUCCAUGA